rnacentral:piRNA from 1 species
UACCUGAUACUGUGACAAUCGGUAGC